GUGGCUAUAUCAUAACUGGAUAAUGACACUGCAUGUGAGGCAGUUCUAUGUCGGUUCGAGUCCGACUAGCCACCCCA
rnacentral:tRNA from 1 species